rnacentral:rRNA from 1 species
AGCAGCCGCGGUAAUUCCAGCUCCAAUAGCGUAUAUUAAAGUUGUUGCAGUUAAAAGCUCGUAGUUGAAUUUCGGGGUUAGUAGAUUGGUCGUGCCACGGGUAUGUACUGGUCUUACUGAUUCCUCCUUCCUGAUGAACCGUAAUGCCAUUAAUUUGGUGUUGCGGGGAGACUGGACUGUUACUUUGAAAAAUUAGAGUGUUUAAAGCAAGCCUACGCUUGAAUACAUUAGCAUGGAAUAAUGAAAUAGGACGUUCGAUCCUAUUUUGUUGGUUUCUAGGAUUGACGUAAUGAUUAAUAGGGAUAGUUGGGGGCAUUAGUAUUCAAUUGUCAGAGGUGAAAUUCUUGGAUUUAUUGAAGACUAACUACUGCGAAAGCAUUUGCCAAGGAUGUUUUCAUUAAUCAAGAACGAAAGUUAGGGAUCGAAGACGAUCAGAUACCGUCGUAGCCU